UACAGAGGGUGCGAGCGUUGUUCGGAAUUAUUGGGCGUAAAGGGCGCGUAGGCGGUGCGGUAAGUCACCUGUGAAAUCUCCUGGCUCAACUGGGAGCUUGCAGGCGAAACUGCCGUGCUGGAGUGUGGGAGAGGUGCGUGGAAUUCCUGGUGUAGCGGUGAAAUGCGUAGAUAUCAGGAGGAACACCUGUGGCGAAAGUGGCGCACUGGACCACAACUGACGCUGAGGCGCGAAAGCUAGGGGAGCAAACAGG
rnacentral:rRNA from 1 species